UGUCUGGUAAAACUCGUGCCAGCCACCGCGGUUAUACGAGAGACCCUAGUUGACAGCUACGGCGUAAAGAGUGGUUUGGGACACCCCAUAAAAAUAAAGCCAAAGACCUCCCAAGCUGUCAAACGCACUCCGGAGGCACGAAACCCCAACACGAAAGUAGCUUUACCUUCACCCCCCGACGCCACGAAAGCUAAGAAACAAACUGGGAUUAGAUACCCCACUAUG
rnacentral:rRNA from 1 species